GCACACCACAAUCGAAUUUUAUAAGCUCUUAUCGCUCGGCAGAGCCUCAAUAACGUGCUAACGGCACCCGAAGCUCCUGCUCCCUGCUCGCCUGCCAAAGCUGAUAGCAGCCACAAAAGCUCAAUUUAAAAUCGAACAAAAAACAACCAAACAUUCGAAAUCGAAAUCGAAACCGACAUGCGACAAUCGCAAUUAGCGAAAGAAGGAAGGAAAGCAAGAGACGGAACAAAAGGAGAGCCGGAGGAGGAGGAGCAGUAGAAGGAGGAAACUGAGUCAGACCUCGGAGUCUACCGGCGUUUCACGGAGCAGGAGGAGGUGGAGGUGCUGGUGGCGGGGAGCCUGCGGUGCUGCCUCUGCGGGCUAUAUAGAAGCCGACGCCAGCGACACCGACAACGACAACGAAGGCAGCGGCUGAGGCGGCGGCGACAACGAAAGCUCCAGAGAGACGGACAGCGAGACGAUCGACGGGGAAUUCUCGGUGUCGUUAACACUACAGUUCGGCUCGGAUCGGAUCGGCCGUUGGUUGGCCGCUGGUUCGCGCCUCGGAUCAUUUCGGAUCGCUGCUUCGUACCCUCCUCUUAUCGGCGGAGAUUAAGCGACUACUAUAUAUAUGUAUGUAUGUACAUACAUAUGUGUACAAUACAUCUGUACAUAAAUCCAUGUGUACAUAUAAUUCAAAUUGUUUAAUGGCCCACUAAAUGUGUACAUAUAUAUAAUCUGUAUAUAGAACGCGUAUUUGUCUGUGGCUUUGUAUGUUUUUGAGCUUUCAUUAAAAUAAAUAUAGUUUGUUAUUUCUAA